UCAAAAAAGAAGGAUCAAUAGUUGCAUACCCGGGGCUAGACGCCAGUGGCCUUGGUGCCUCUUAGUCAACCACCAACUUUCGAAGAGUGCGUACGUUCCGUUUGAAAUUUAAGUGUAGUUUAGGAAAAUUGUGACGUCAAAGUAAAAUUUGAAGGUACCGGAUAAGAACGGAUUUUUCGAAAUUCCACCGAUAAGGGGUAUAAAAUGGGAAAAUUGUUGCCCGUGACCUCGAGAACUAAGGGGGCGUGGCUUCGGAGUUUGAACGGAGACUGCCCGCACCAACGAGUCGCAGGCAUCAACUUAAGAAAAAAAAAUUAACUGCAACAAUAUUUUUUUAUAAUGUAAUAAUAAUAAUAAUAAUAAUAAA